rnacentral:rRNA from 1 species
GACGAACGCUGGCGGCGUGCUUAACACAUGCCAGUCGAACGGAAAGGCCCUGCUUUUGCGGGGUGCUCGAGUGGCGAACGGGUGAGUAACACGCGAGUAACCUGCCCCUGACUUUGGGAUAACUCCAGGAAACUGGGGCUAAUAUCGGAUAUGAGCUCCUGCUGCAUGGUGGGCGUUGGAAAGUUUCGGCGGUUGGGGAUGGACUCGCGGCUUAUCAGCUUGUUGGUGGGGUAGUGGCUUACCAAGGCUUUGAAGGAUAGCCGGCCUGAGAGGGUGACCGGCCACAUUGGGACUGAGAUAGGGCCCAGACGCCUACGGGAGGCAGCAGUGGGGAAUAUUGCACAGUGGGCGGGAGCCUGAUGCAGCGACGCCGCGUGCGGGAUGACGGGCUUCGGGUUGUAAACCGCUUUCGCCUGUGACGAAGCGUGAGUGACGGUAAUGGGUAAAGAAGCACCGGCUAACUACGUG